ensembl:snoRNA small nucleolar RNA SNORD66
CUCCAGUGAUGAAGUUCUAUUAGAGCCACGUGUCUUGGCCACUGAUUUUAGCAGUGGAACUGAGGAA